rnacentral:rRNA from 1 species
GUGAGUUAGUUCAGUAGUUUGAUCCGUGGCUCAGGACGAACGCUGGCGGCGUGCCUAACACAUGCAAGUCGAACGAAGCAUUUUAAGUGAAUCCCUUCGGGGUGAAGCUUUUUAUGACUUAGUGGCGGACGGGUGAGUAACGCGUAAGUAACCUGCCUUUCAGAGGGGGAUAACAGUUGGAAACGACUGCUAAUACCGCAUAACGUAUUGAGAUCGCAUGGUCUUGAUACCAAAGCUGAGGCGCUGAAAGAUGGACUCGCGUCUGAUUAGAUAGUUGGUGAGGUAACGGCUCACCAAGUCGACGAUCAGUAGCCGGACUGAGAGGUUGAUCGGCCACAUUGGGACUGAGACACGGCCCAG